AGAGCGAACGCUGGCGGCAGGCUUAACACAUGCAAGUCGAGCGGGCGUAGCAAUACGUCAGCGGCAGACGGGUGAGUAACGCGUGGGAACGUACCUUUUGGUUCGGAACAACCCAGGGAAACUUGGGCUAAUACCGGAUAAGCCCUUACGGGGAAAGAUUUAUCGCCGAAAGAUCGGCCCGCGUCUGAUUAGCUAGUUGGUGAGGUAAUGGCUCACCAAGGCGACGAUCAGUAGCUGGUCUGAGAGGAUGAUCAGCCACAUUGGGACUGAGACACGGCCCAAACUCCUACGGGAGGCAGCAGUGGGGAAUAUUGGACAAUGGGCGCAAGCCUGAUCCAGCCAUGCCGCGUGAGUGAUGAAGGCCCUAGGGUUGUAAAGCUCUUUUGUGCGGGAAGAUAAUGACGGUACCGCAAGAAUAACGCCCCGGACUAACUUCGUGCCAGCAGCCGC
rnacentral:rRNA from 1 species